rnacentral:tRNA from 1 species
UAUUAGAUGACUGAAAGUAAGUAAUGGUCUCUUAAACCAGCUCAUGGUAAUUAACAAUCACCUCUAAUAA